AGUGAACGCUGGCGGUAGGCCUAACACAUGCAAGUCGAACGGCAGCACAGUAAGAGCUUGCUCUUACGGGUGGCGAGUGGCGGACGGGUGAGGAAUACAUCGGAAUCUACUUUUUCGUGGGGGAUAACGUAGGGAAACUUACGCUAAUACCGCAUACGACCUACGGGCGAAAGCAGGGGAUCUUCGGACCUUGCGCGAUUGAAUGAGCCGAUGUCGGAUUAGCUAGUUGGCGGGGUAAAGGCCCACCAAGGCGACGAUCCGUAGCUGGUCUGAGAGGAUGAUCAGCCACACUGGAACUGAGACACGGUCCAGACUCCUACGGGAGGCAGCAGUGGGGAAUAUUGGACAAUGGGCGCAAGCCUGAUCCAGCCAUACCGCGUGGGUGAAGAAGGCCUUCGGGUUGUAAAGCCCUUUUGUUGGGAAAGAAAAGCGGCAGGUUAAUACCCCGCUGUUCUGACGGUACCCAAAGAAUAAGCACCGGCUAACUUCGUG
rnacentral:rRNA from 1 species